AGAUUGAACGCUGGCGGCAGGCCUAACACAUGCAAGUCGAGCGGCAGCACGGGUACUUGUACCUGGUGGCGAGCGGCGGACGGGUGAGUAAUGCCUAGGAAUCUGCCUGGUAGGUGGGGGAUAACGCUACGGAAACGGACGCUAAUACCGCAUACGUCCGUACGGGAGAAAGCGAGGGGACCUUCGGGCCUUGCGCUAU
rnacentral:rRNA from 1 species